ensembl:lncRNA
GAAAAGUCACAACGUGUUCCAUCUCUGUUUAGCCAAAUCAUCCAUUCACUGAGAAACACUGCUUUUUGAAAACAACUGUUGGAAACAAUUGUUUCCUGGUUCUUGGUAAAAGUUCUAUUUGGAGAUUUUUUUCUUUUUGAAGCCUUUGUGUAACCUCCACACAAACACACACACACACACACACGCACGUGGUUCCAUGUGAACUUUCUGUACCACUUCUGAGGGAAGUCAAGCUGCAUUCUCUUCCAUGAUCAAUGUUUUUUCAGGUUGGGGAAACAGGUGACUGUAGCUGUGACAGUCCAGGUUGACCAUGCAGAGACUGUCCUGCCGCUGCUCACCCUCCUGCAGGGCCUCUUCAAGGACAUCGAUGCCUUGACCCCAAGCCUGUGACCUUCCCUGGAUUGCAGGCCCCCGUGCCGCUCUAUCAAGAUGUCAAGGAUCGCUACAGGGAGCUGCUCUUUGACUUCGAGACUGAGUGUCUGUUUAAGAGUCCCGCUUAAUUCAAAGUGGCCAGGGUAGAUCCUGUAAAAGAGGCUGACCUUUCCUUUGGUAAACAAAAUUAACACACGCUCCUACAAUAAAAAUGUUAGUAUUUGAACGAGCAUUUUUCUGAUGCUAGUGAUUUAAAUAUGGAAUUUAAAUAUAUUUGUGUUCUUUGAACAACUGAAAUAAAAAAUUAUGG